GGCUCAGAACGAACGCUGGCGGCGUGGCUAAGACAUGCAAGUCGAACGGACUGUUCAAUUUAUUGAUCAGUUAGUGGCGAAAGGGUUAGUAACGGAUGGGUAACGUACCCUGUGCUUUGGGAUAGCGUCAGUAGCUUCGGCUACUUUCCGAAAGGGGCGGUAAUACCAAAUAAUAUCAUUUGUCGAUAGGCGGAUGAUCAAAGAUUUAUCGGCGCAGGAGCGGCCUGUCUCCCAUCAGCUUGUUGGUGAGGUAACGGCUCACCAAGGCAACGACGGGUAGCGGGACCGAGAGGUUGACCCGCAACAUCGGGACUGAGACACUGCCCGGACCUCCACGGAGGGCUGCAGUAACGGAUAUUGUGCAAUGGGCGAAAGCCUGACACAGCGACGCCGCGUGUAGGAGGAAGUCUUUCGGGAUGUAAACUACUGUCAGGGGGAAGAAAGUGCGCUUCGGCGUAUUGAUCUACCCCAGAGGAAGUCACGGCUAACUUCGUGCCAGCAGCCGCGGUAAGACGAAGGUGGCAAGCGUUGUUCGGUAUUACUGGGCUUAAAGCGUGUGUAGGCGGAAAAGUAAGCGUCCUGUGAAAGCCCCCGGCUUAACCGGGGAAUUGCGUGACGAACUGCUUUUCUUGAGGCAAGUAGGGGUGCAUGGAACUCUUGGUGGAGCGGUGGAAUGCGUAGAUAUCAAGAGGAACGCCAGUGGAGAAAUCGGUGCACUGGGCUUGUUCUGACGCUGAGACACGAAAGCGUGGGGAGCGAAC
rnacentral:rRNA from 1 species